rnacentral:tRNA from 1 species
UAGCUCAGUUGGUAGAGCGUCGCUCUUUUAACCCAAAGGUCCCCGGUUCGAAUCCGGG